GGGAGCAAAGUGACAUAGUGGUUAGCACAUUUGUCUCGCACACCCAGGGUUGGGGGUUCAAUUCCCACCUCUUCCC